AAGUCGUAACAAGGUUUCCGUAGGUGAACCUGCGGAAGGAUCAUUAACACGUAUCCACGUAUCAACCCCUAGUGUCACGAGUGCGCGAGCCGGCCAAUUCAGUUGGCCGUAUGCAACAGAGCAAUCCGUUGCGCGUGCUCAGUUUUUCUUCUUUCUCCCUUUUUAUGAAUAUUAACCACUUGAACCCAUCAGACUAAAACCAUUUCGUGUUUUGUGCGAACGAAACCGAAACAAUAAAAUAACAAGAAACAACUCUUAGCGACGGAUUUCUUGGCUCCC
rnacentral:misc_RNA from 1 species